CACGAACCGUGCGAACGUUAUUCGGAAUUACUGGGCUUAAAGAGUUCGUAGGCGGCGCGUUAAGUUGGGUGUGAAAUCCCUUGGCUCAACCAAGGAAUUGCGCUCAAAACUAGCGUGCUUGAGGAAGACAGGGGUAAGCGGAACUGAUGGUGGAGCGGUGAAAUGCGUAGAUAUCAUCAGGAACACCGGUGGCGAAGGCGGCUUACUGGGUCUUUUCUGACGCUGAGGAACGAAAGCUAGGGGAGCGAACGGG
rnacentral:rRNA from 1 species